CACCUACAAGAUCACAGGCGGACUGACACAGACGAGAAGCCAUACAAGUGCGAUCUCUGUCCCGCAGUGUUUGGACAGAGCACAACCCUGUCACGACACAAGCAAACGCACACGUGAGAGAGGCCAUACAAGUGCGAUCUUUGUCCUGCAGUAUUCAGACGCCGCAGAACCUUGUCACGUCACAAGUACAGGCACACAGGCUUGUAGCCAUACAAGUGCAACGUCUGCCCUGCGAAAUUCAGCGAGAAGAGCGUGACGAGCGGACACACACGGGCGAGAAGCCAUACAAGUGUGAUGUCUGCCUUGCGGAGUUCGGUGAGAGAGGGCACCCACAGCGUCACAAGCGAACACACACGGGUGACAAGCCAUACAGGUGUGAUCUCUGUCCUGCAGAGUUCAGGCAGAGUACGACCCUGUCACGUCACACACAUAUGGGUGAGCAGCCAGAAAAGCGCGACCUCUGUCUUGCAGUGUCGUCCAGCACAAACUUCCGGUGUGAUACAAGUGCCGUCUCUGUCCUGCGGAAUUCUGGCACAGCGUGGACCUGGGCAUCACAUCUGGACACCGACAGGCGAGAAGUCAUAGAGGACAAUUCUCUGUUCUACAGACCUGGGGCACAACACAAACCUGCAGUGCAACAAGGUUACCCCUCUCUGGCAAGUCUUCUGUCUUGACUUGGAACCCUUGAAGACAGGGCUGACCCUCUGACAAACGGAAGAGGCAAGACGUACUCGUGUCUUGGAGUCAUCACGUAUUAACCCCUCGGAUUCUCAACUCCAAGAAAUGCGGCUCUCCCCAGAGUUCAGUGGUCAACUCGUGAAAGUGAAAUCGGAACCACCUGAUUUUGCGUGCCUGCCAGAAGAGGGCCAGGUACAGCAACAGCAGUGCAACGAAUCCUCACCGGGAGGUGAUGCUGAUGGACUGCUAAACUACCGGACGACACCGCUGGAAGACGGGAACUCCCCGGCAGACAUACUGAUGGGUCGACGACUACGGUCCCGCCUACCAGACUUCGGAAGUGCUUCACAGGUGGACGUCCGAAAGCAUCGACAGAGUACAUCACGAGGGUGUCACCUGCAACUUCUGCGGUCAGGUGAAACCGUCCGAAUCCACCAAGAUGGUGCUUGGACCGUCAAAGCGAAAGUGCAAGACCGCUUGGCACCGAGGUCCUACAAAGUCGUCACGGAGGACAAUAAAGUACUGCGAAGGAAUCGGCAGCACCUGCUUCCAACGUCUGAGCACUACGUUCGGACAACACCAGCCAUGGGUGAUCUUCCAUGCACAGGAAGCUAGCCAUUCAGCGAAGUACUGACAGGAUCCAGCGGUCCCGAACCGGCAGUUCCCAGCACAUUUGGUGCAUCUUCCAAGGACUCUGCCCCAUUGUUAACCAAAGACAGUGUAACUACGCAAGGACUGUCCCUGCGACGAUCGACCAGGACAAGACGUCCGCCGGACAGAUUGAUGUAUAAGUAAACUGUGUAGCUUUUUGUAUGUAACUUUUAUUGUGACGCUAUUGUUGCGCUUAACGCUACUUUUAACACUGUGUACGAAUUUAACAAAAAAAAAAGAAAAGAAAAGGGAGAUGUAUCGGAAUGAAGCCGAUAGUAAUCUUAUCUGUUGGCAUGCCUUCGCCAUGCCUUUGUGUCAACACGUACUCCCCCUACCGUUCUGUAUAAAACCAGGUAAUAAAGGAGCAACAGGUUGUUGCUG